rnacentral:rRNA from 1 species
GAUGAACGCUGGCGGCGUGCCUAAUACAUGCAAGUCGAGCGAACGGACGAGAAGCUUGCUUCUCUGAUGUUAGCGGCGGAAGGGUGAGUAACACGUGGAUAACCUACCUAUAAGACUGGGAUAACUUCGGGAAACCGGAGCUAAUACCGGAUAAUAUUUUGAACCGCAUGGUUCAAAAGUGAAAGACGGUCUUGCUGUCACUUAUAGAUGGAUCCGCGCUGCAUUAGCUAGUUGGUAAGGUAACGGCUUACCAAGGCAACGAUGCAUAGCCGACCUGAGAGGGUGAUCGGCCACACUGGAACUGAGACACGGUCCAGACUCCUACGGGAGGCAGCAGUAGGGAAUCUUCCGCAAUGGGGGAAAGCCUGACGGAGCAGCGCCGCGUGGGUGAUGAAGGUCUUCGGAUCGUAAAACUCUGUUAUUAGGGAAGAACAUAUGUGUAAGUAACUGUGCACAUCUUGACGGUACCUAAUCAGAAAGCCACGGCUAACUACGUG